AACGAACGCUGGCGGCAUGCCUAACACAUGCAAGUCGAACGAGACCUUCGGGUCUAGUGGUGCACGGGUGCGUAACGCGUGGGAACCUGCCCUUAGGUUCGGAAUAACUCCCCGAAAGGGGUGCUAAUACCGGAUAAUGUCUUCGGACCAAAGAUUUAUCGCCUUUGGAUGGGCCCGCGUUGGAUUAGCUAGUUGGUAGGGUAAAAGCCUACCAAGGCGACGAUCCGUAGCUGGUCUGAGAGGAUGAUCAGCCACACUGGGACUGAGACACGGUCCAGACUCAUAAGGGAGGCAGCAGUGGGGAAGAUUGGACAAUGGGCGAAAGCCUGAGGGAGCAAUGACGCGUGAGUGAAGAAGGGCUUCGGGUGGUAAAGCACUGGAAGCAGGGAGGAAGGGAAGAACUUUAAUAACGGCAUGUAUUGACGGGACCGACAGAAAAAGCAAAGGCGAAAUCCGUG
rnacentral:rRNA from 1 species